CCCUACGGGUGAUGGCUGCCCGUCCUCUCCCUCUCCCAGAUGCCGUGUGGAGGACUCGGUUGUCUGUCCUUCCCCGGGGUUGUCGUGGGCUGCGUUUGCCUCAGGUUUGCCUGGACUGUCUCAGUUUGGCCUCGCUCUCCAAGCGCUGUGGGGGACCGGGGGCCGGCGGACACGUAGCGGCUUUGGACCGGAGCUGCCGCAGCUGAAACUUGUGAGGCUAGAAAAAGGUGGAGGACUGUCGAGCGACCAGAGCUGCAGAAGAGGAAGGGAGGGAGAGAGAAACAGACAGACAGAGAGAAGCGUCUGAACUGGAAAAUUUUGUGGGCAGUGCCAGAAGCGGGAGCUGUGUGCGUUUCUCUGGGAGCUGACCGUUCCCUGCUGGACCGAAGAGCACUGCUCCAGUAACGGCUGCCGAGAUGUACAUGUCCCAGGGUGGGGAAGCGCAUAGGCACCGAGCCCCGGAGCAGACUCACUGCCAGGACUUCUUAGACCGUAUGACGUCGUGCUUGGCAGUAAAAGCUGGUGGAAGGAGGGGACGUUCAGAGCGAUGCCAUUUGUCUUCGCAAGUCACCGUUAUACGUGAUGGAGCCCUGCUUUCCUGGAAAUGGCUAAACACCUGCCUGCUGGUGGGAAGUAGUGAAUGAAUUCCUUAUUUUGCUUUGCUUGCAUGCGUGGCUUUUGCUUUACCUAUUAAACUGUCUUUAUCUCAGCCCAUGAGUUUUCUCACUUUUACUCUUCCGAUUGUCUCGUCCAUCCUACCAGGGGGGAGUGAGCGAGUGGCUGUCUGAUGCUUCGUUGCUGGCUGGGGUUAAACCACGACAUUCCCUGUCUUCUUUUUUCCUCUGUGUGUUCUGCUCCCUGUCCCUGUCUUUCUCUUCUUCCUCUUCUUUCUCUCUCUCUGUACCCCUCUGUCCUGCUCCCCAUUAAUAUCUUUCUAUCCUGCUAUCCCUAAACCAUGUCCUUAGUUACCGACCUACCAAGAUUCUAGUCCCAUAGCGUUUUCCCUUAUCUAGAGAAUUUAUGGUUUGUCUGGACGUAUAAAAGCAUGUAAACCUAAAGAUAAGGUGGGAGUUAUCGUCAGUAC